rnacentral:rRNA from 1 species
GUGUGAGUAGCGGCGAGCGAAAGCGGAAGAGCCCAAACCGACCUGCGUGCAGGUCGGGGUUCGGACUGCAAAAUUGACGAGCGAGUCUAAUGGAAAGGUUUUGGGAAAGCCUGCCAGAGAGGGUGAAAGCCCCGUACAUGAAAGACGAGUGAGCAUGGCAGUAUCCAGAGUACCACGAGACACGAGAAACCUUGUGGGAAUGAGCGGGGACCACCCCGUAAGGCUAAAUACUCCUUAGUGACCG